AGGUGCUGCAUGGCUGUCGUCAGCUCGUGUCGUGAGAUGUUGGGUUAAGUCCCGCAACGAGCGCAACCCUUGUCAUUAGUUGCUACGAAAGGGCACUCUAAUGAGACUGCCGGUGACAAACCGGAGGAAGGUGGGGAUGACGUCAAGUCCUCAUGGCCCUUAUGGGUAGGGCUUCACACGUCAUACAAUGGUACAUACAGAGGGCCGCCAACCCGCGAGGGGGAGCUAAUCGCAGAAA
rnacentral:rRNA from 1 species